rnacentral:lncRNA from 1 species
GUAUGAGCAGGAGGGGUGUACUUUUAGUUCAUUAAGUUUUAAUUACAGGAGUGCUACAAGAACACAUUCUUCAGGUUUAAAAAGAUAUUAAAAUAUUACAUAAGAGACCUCCCCUCCCUGGCCCACCUCCAGCCUCUUAAAAAUUUAGUGUGUCGCCUUUUAGACACUUUCUCAAAGCUUCACUUAUUUAACAGGCACUUAAGGAGCACCUACCUGUGCCAGAAACUCUCCAAAUAUUAACUCAACCUGACACCGACUCAGUGUGGCCGAAUAUUACUCUCCCCAUUUUACAGAGCGGGCAGCUGGUCAAGGAAGUCGCUUGUUGAAAGUCACACAGUGGUGGAGCCUGUGUGCCAACCCAGGACCCUGGGGAGCUGCCUCCCCCUCUCCCACGUAGUCCUGAUUCUUUAAGUGUCCACAUAUUCCUGUAAUGCCUGGAGUUUCAGUAAUUAGCAGGGACUUAGUGUGUUCAGAGAAAAAAAAAGCUUUUAAAAAUUAUUGUUACUGUGUUUGUAACAGUUUGGAUAGAGAAGGAAAAGCUGGAAUUUGGGAAGUGAAGGUGGCCUCGGGGUAGAACUUACCUAGACCAGAGCGAAUUCAUCCUGAAGAACUCAGAGAAAGCCGGUGCAGGAAGUGGGUUCCCGCUCUCCCUGCACAGGCACAGUGAUGCUGCCAGAGCUCUCCCAGAAAGACCAGGAGGCUUGUUCUGGAGAAGUCAAGCCCAGGGAUGUGGCUCAGGCUGGUCCAAGCUCUUUGGAGGAGUCCAAGCGUGCCCAGCCCAGAGGGAGGUUCAGAGGCACUGACCGUCUUCUGUUUGGGAGGAGAAGCUCACUCUUGGAGCCACAGCCAGCACUAGGGUGAAGGAGGUCAUCAUUACCACCCCUGCUUUCAGCCAUUUCUUCAUUCAUUCAAUCAACAAACUGGCUGAGCUGCAACCCUGAGCCGGGGAAUUCAGCCACUCCAGACACAGCCCCUGCCCUCCGGGAAGUCUCGGGAGACCUGGCUAGUCUGGCUGGGAGAAGUCACACGUUGAUUGUCUUGGAAGUGAGAUGGCAUUUACACAAUGGAGGCUGCACUGCCAGCAGGCAAAAAUAACCAGUUAAUUCAGUGGCUUAAAGAAACCAAACCUACCCACAACGCUUGACCUCCCAUUGAUCCAUCUGCGACACCGGCAGUGGCUACCAUUUAUUGAGUGCUGAUGGUGUCACCUGGGAUUGACUUAGUGGUCUCUGGCGCUAGUUCCGAAGUUGAUUCUGUCUGGAGAGCUUAAUGCAGUGUUCAGACCUCAGGGUCCGAACCUGAGGGUCACCCAAAGAUGAGUGGGACAUAGCUGUGUGACCUCGGCUGAGUGCUUUCACCUCUCCAACCUCAGUUUCCUCUUCUGCAAAAUGGGGUGGCUUCAUGGCACCUUCACGUGGUGUGAUUGCGAGGAAUGAAGGGAUCGAUGCCUUGCAAGUAGAGGAGAAGGGGCCGGAUACAUCUUAGUUGUUAUGUUAUUUAAUCAUCUUGGCAACCCCGGGAGGGAGGAACCACUAUCAUUUUAUUUUCCAUUUUGCAGUUGAGGACAAUGAUGAUUCCAGCACAGACAGGGCCCCUGACGGGGCAGUAGGAAAGGAGAAUUGCUUUGGAAGGAGCAUAGGCUGGACUGCCAGCACUCAUAGGAGGCUUCGUGUGUGCCCAGGACUGCGAGAAUUAAAUACAGGACACCCAGUUCAGUUUGAAUUUCAGAUAAACUAUGAAUAAUGAUUAGUUGUCUGGUCUAGGGACAAAUGCUGAGACGUCUGCAAGGCCAUCUAGAACGCCAGGAAGGCACUGUGGGAACCCAGAGGAACAGGGCACGACGGUGCCCAACAGUCCCAGGAAAACACUCUGUGCCCUUCACCUACAUCUCCAUGCCAGGGUUGGAGACAGGGUCCUGUCCCAUCUGCACAUGGAGCCCUCCGGACGGGUGAAUCUGUCGUCAGUUUGGGGCUUGGGAAUCGGUGUCCAAGAGCUGGCUUCAAAGGCAAUGAAACUGGCAUUGCAUCUUUGAAGGCAGCACAGGCUACAUCUGUCUUAUUCUCCGUGUCCACAGCCCCUAGCAGUGACUGGCAUGUGGUCACGCCCAAUAAAUAUUUGCUGAAUGAAUGAACGCAAAACAAUUUGCAAUGUGGACUAGUCCCUUAAAGUAUGUGUAUCUGCAACCGGUAAGUCUACCACAUAUCUUAAGGAAAUAAUCAGAGAAGUGAACAGUUUUAAGGAGAAGAACGUUGAUCCUAUCUUCAUUCGUAAAAGCAAAAGUGCAAUGAAAUUAAAAACAAAUAGAAGAUGCGUAAAUAAAAGGCAGUGAUCAUAAAACUGUUCAAAACCUUGUUUUCAAAAAUUAUCUGAUGAUAUAAAGUCCCAUAUAAACUAAAUUUAAAAAUAGGCUGCAGAACCGAUCUCAACUUUUUACAAAAAUAUUAUUAGAAAAAGGAUUAAAAUGAUAUUUGCCAAAAUAUUAACAGUGGUCAGCUUUGUGCAAU